rnacentral:rRNA from 1 species
GGUCACGUUCAUACCCAUUAGGGUCAUAUCAGUACCCAUUCCGAACACUGCAAUCAAGCCUAAUGGGGUUAACGCAAGUAGUGCCGUCACCAAGCGGCGUGAAACGUUAAAAUGUGACCU